rnacentral:rRNA from 1 species
GACGAACGCUGGCGGCGUGCUUAACACAUGCAAGUCGAACGGUGAAGGGACCGGUUUUUGCUGGUUCUGGAUGAGUGGCGAACGGGUGAGUAACACGUGAGUAACCUGCCCCCUUCUUCUGGAUAACCGCAUGAAAGUGUGGCUAAUACGGGAUAUUCUGCGCCUGCUGCAUGGUGGGUGUGGGAAAGAUAUUGUUUCGGUGGGGGAUGGGCUCGCGGCCUAUCAGCUUGUUGGUGGGGUGAUGGCCUACCAAGGCGGUGACGGGUAGCCGGCCUGAGAGGGUGGACGGUCACACUGGGACUGAGACCCGGCCCAGACUCCUACGGGAGGCAGCAGUGGGGAAUAUUGCACAAUGGGCGCAAGCCUGAUGCAGCGACGCCGCGUGAGGGAUGGAGGCCUUCGGGUUGUAAACCUCUUUCGCCAGUGAAGCAGGCCUGUCCCUUUUGUGGGUGGGUUGACGGUAGCUGGAUAAGAAGCGCCGGCUAACUACGUG